AGAGCUGGUUGGGGAACAUCAGCCUGGAGCAGAAAGUCAUCGUUUUACCGCAGAGGAACAGGACAAAGUACUGGUGGUGAAUGGGGAUCGAAUGUCAAGAGGAGGAAUGUAGUGGAUUUAAUAUUAACAUUGACGGGAGCUCCAGGAUUUGAUGUUGUCUGCAAAUUUGCCAACCAACCCGUCUAUAUUUAUGUCCAAGAGGUGCAGCGACAAUGUUAGAGACCCGCGUUCGUUCCUGACUACGUGUGCUGUAUGGAGUUUGUACAUUCUCCCUGUGGCCACGUGGGUU